rnacentral:rRNA from 1 species
CUAUAUAAUAGUUAAAACUUUCAACAACGGAUCUCUUGGUUCUGGCAUCGAUGAAGAACGCAGCGAAAUGCGAUAAGUAAUGUGAAUUGCAGAAUUCAGUGAAUCAUCGAAUCUUUGAACGCACAUUGCGCCCCGUGGUAUUCCGCGGGGCAUGCCUGUUCGAGCGUCAUUAUGACCCAUCACGCCUCGCGUGGUCUUGGGGCCUGCCGCCGGGCAGCCCCUAAACACAGUGGCGGCGCCGCGUGG